UUAAGGACAAGCCAGCCCUAUGCUGACAGUUUCACCAGUGUAAGGCACAAAAUAUAAAACCUACCUGAAGCACUCAGCAACUCAUUAGACCCAACACCACGUUUACAAAUGUACAAAAUGAACAGGAAGGCUAUUGGUAAACCACUGACAAGGGAUUGAAGAGUUGUAAUAUAGGCAGAACAUGACAUUUAAUGGGAUUGCAAUCUCUACAAAAACAUUAAAAUGACCACAGUAAAGCACCACUCUAGGCACCCAGACCACUUUGGCUUAAAGGACCACUCUAGGCACCCAGAUCACGUCAGCUUAAUGAAGUGGUCUGGGUGCCAGGUCCAGCUAGGG